rnacentral:lncRNA from 1 species
UCUGAUUGGGGGAAAAAGCUACUAGAGCCUGGGAUAGUGCUUGGGGUGUGCAAAAAACCCCUGGGAUCCGAUUUGGAUAUGGAUAGAGACCUCUUUAAUGUUUUUAAUGAAGUAAAUACUAAUUGGAAUGGUGUGAUCAUGGGAGACUUUAACUUCCCAGAUAUAGACUGGAGGACAAAUGCUAGUAGUAAUAAUAGGGCUCAGAUUUUCCUGGAUGUGAUAGCUGAUGGAUUCCUUCACCAAGUAGUUGCUGAACCAACAAGAGGGGAUGCCAUUUUAGAUUUGGUUUUGGUCAGUAGUGAGGACCUCAUAGAAGAAAUGGUUGUAGGGGACAACCUUGGUUCGAGUGAUCAUGAGUUAAUUCAGUUCAAACUAAAUAGAUCUGUGACUAGGGUUUUUGAUGUCAAAAGGGCUAACUUUAAAAAAUUAAGGAAAUUAGUUAGGGAAGUGGUUUGGACUGAAGAACUUGUGGAUCUAAAGGUGGAGGAGACCACGUCAAGUCAAGUCAAGGAGACCUUACUUCAAGUCAAGGUUGCAGAAACUAUCAGAAGUCUGCAUCCCAAGAAAGGGAAAAAAAUCAUAGGCAGGAGUUGUAGACCAAGCUGGAUAAGCAAGCAUCUCAGAGAAGUGAUUAAGAAAAAGCAGAAAGUCUACAGGGAGUGGAAGAUGGGAGGGAUCAGCAAGGAAAGCUACCUUAUUGAGGUCAGAACAUGUAGGAAUAAAGUGAGAAAGGCCAAAAGCCAUGUAGAGUUGGACCUUGCAAAGGGAAUUAAAACCAAUAGUAAAAGGUUCUGUAGCCAUAUAAAUAAGAAGAAAACAAAGAAAGAAGAAGUGGGACCGCUAAACACUGAGGAUGGAGUGGAGGUUAAGGAUAAUUUAGGCAUGGCCCAAUAUCUAAACAAAUACUUUGCCUCAGUCUUUAAUGAGGCUAAUGAGGAGUUUAGGGAAAAUGGUAGGAUGACAAAUGGGAAUGAGGAUAUGGAGGUAGAUAUUACCACAUCUGAGGGAGAAGCCAAACUCGAACAGCUUAAUGGGACUAAAUUGAGGGGCCCAGAUAAUCUUCAUCCAAGAAUAUUAAAGGAACUGGCACAUGAAAUUGCAAGCCCNNNNNNNNNNNNNNNNNNNNNNNNNNNNNNNNNNNNNNNNNNNNNNNNNN